UUGGUUCUCCAGAAGGAGCGUCCGCCUGGCCAGACAGGAACCAGCAUUGAUCUGUUUGGCAUCAGGCGUCUCCACAGUGCUGAUCAGGCUGCAGCUACACACACACACACACACACACACACACACGCACACACACGCACACACACACACGCACACACUUUGUUCUGAGGGUUCAUCUAAGUGAUGAGUCCUGAUGUGUGAAGGCCCUGGAGGGGAAGCAGAGAUGAUCCCAGAUCCUCUAUUUGGACCAGUCUGUUAAUCCUUCUCGUCUGUGGACCUCAUCAGUAAUCGAGAUCAUCAGAGAGAAGAUGGUCUGUUUCCAUUGAGUUCUUUUAAUGCAGGUUCACCACAACCUUCUCCAGCGGGGCAUCCAGCAGAGACCAGUCCACCGUGGACAGACGCAGGUCCUCCAGCAGAGACCAGUUCACCGUGGAGGUGGACUGGUCCUCUGAGUGGUUCAUGUUCAACACGGAAAUGUCAAAGGGAGAAAACUCUACAAGUACACCGACGCAGCAAGAGAGAGAGGGAGAGAGAGAGAGAGAGAGUGCCUCAAGAGGUCAUCUGAAGAUCCCUAGAGGUCAUUGGCACACUAAAUCACAAUACUAAAAAUGUUGGCGACAUUACAAACUAGGCAGUGGGUGAGUUUUGUGAUGAUUACUGUGACUCUCAACGUGUUUGGGAUACAACAAAAUCAAUAAGUGAUAUCAACACAAUAAUGUAGUAUGUUUUUAAUCUAGUACCUGGUCAGAUGUAGUGUGAUUUGUUAUGACCUGGUCAGGUCUACUAUAUUUGGGUAUGACUCGGUCGCCACUGGUCUGUUGUGGUUUGUUAUGACCUGGUGUGGUCUGGUCUGGGUUGGUCUGGUAUGGCCUGGUCUGGUUCAGGGCUCCAGCCCCUUACAGUCGGAGGUCUGUUUAACCACAGACGCCGUGUCUCACUUCCUUCAACCGCCCACCUGACUCCCGCUGCAGGACACAAUGGAUUUACCAACCAUUAAGCUAUCAAGAUCUUUUGUUUUGAAAAUAUUUCUGUGGGCCCUUUUUUCCCUAAUUGCCUGUCAAAAUCGACUUGGCUGCCGUCGGCGUGCAGAAAGGAGAGCCGCGCACGCCGUUCAUUAAUUCAUACCGGCUCUAUUCAGACUGGAUUUGGAUUUCACAACCCUGCAGAUAAAACACGCCAACAUGUUCACAUGAGAAUGAUUCAAAUAAAAAAAAGGAAAAGAAAUCA